rnacentral:lncRNA from 1 species
CCCUCUCUCAAGAAACGAAAAAAGUGUUUGUUCAGCCAACCCUAGAAUUUUUUGCAUUUAUAAACUCCUACAGAUCUCUAAUUGUCUCUCCAACUAAUCAGAAUCAACGCCCGUUAUUUCUGCUAGCUACGCAUGAAGCCAAGGCGAUCCGCCAGCCAGAUUAAACUCGUUUGACUGGUUGCAGGAAAAAGGAAGAAGGUAGGAAUUUGGUGCAGGCCCACAGAGCCAGCCGGAGCAAACGUAGAAUCGGAUAGUAGAAGUCGCAAAAGCAUUUGCUCCUCUCGGUCGUACUCCUGUUUUCCUUCUUCAUGCAUGGGUCAUACUCUUCUGCUGCGUGGUGUGCACGGGCGGAGCCAAGCUAUCACCGUGCCCCGGGCCUCCUUCGUUGCUACAGAGAUUAGCAUGAUCAUCAGUGUAAAAAAUGCUAGA